rnacentral:rRNA from 1 species
UACGUAGGGUGCAAGCGUUAAUCGGAAUUACUGGGCGUAAAGCGUGCGCAGGCGGUUAUGUAAGACAGUUGUGAAAUCCCCGGGCUCAACCUGGGAAUUGCAUCUGUGACUGCAUAGCUAGAGUACGGUAGAGGGGGAUGGAAUUCCGCGUGUAGCAGUGAAAUGCGUAGAUAUGCGGAGGAACACCGAUGGCGAAGGCAAUCCCCUGGACCCGUACUGACGCUCAUGCACGAAAGCGUGGGGAGCAAACAGG